rnacentral:rRNA from 1 species
CAAUAGCGUAUAUUAAAGUUGUUGCAGUUAAAAGCUCGUAGUUGGAUUUGUGGCCGUCUCGACCGGCCUGGCACUUAGUGCUGGCGUUUGGUUGAGUCGCCAUCCUUGGGUGGAACCUGUGUGGCAUUAGGUUGUCGUGCAGGGGAUGCCCAUCGUUUACUGUGAAAAAUUAGAGUGUUCAAAGCAGGCUUAUGCCGUUGAAUAUAUUAGCAUGGAAUAAUAAGAUAGGACCUUGGUACUAUUUUGUUGGUUUGCGCACCAAGGUAAUGAUUAAUAGGGACAGUUGGGGGUAUUCGUAUUCCAUUGUCAGAGGUGAAAUUCUUGGAUUUUUGGAAGACGAACUACUGCGAAAGCAUUUACCAAGGAUGUUUUCAUUAAUCAAGAACGAAAGUUAGGGGAUCGAAGAUGAUCAGAUACCAU